GUUUAUUUCAAUUUAUUUUCAUUUCAUUUUUAGUCCUCAAAUUGGCUUUGAAUAGUACUAUUCAUGGACUAAAAAUAGUACUGUUCAGAGCUCAGAAAUUCAGAACGUUACAAGGAGGAUGGAAGAGAUCCAAAACUCAGACUCAAACUCUCUACUGGCUUUUUUGUUGGGAGAUCUAGUUCUUGCUUCUAGUCUUGAUUCCGAUAUUGAUUUACCAAUUGCUCUUUGUAAAGAUUCUAUCCAUAUUCCCAAAACUGUUAGUGAGG
rnacentral:misc_RNA from 1 species